UUUGCCCUACGGGAGGCAGCAGUGGGGAAUAUUGGGCAAUGGGCGCAAGCCUGACCCAGCAACGCCGCGUGAAGGAAGAAGGCUUUCGGGCUGUAAACUUCUUUUCUUGGGGACGAAGAAAGUGACGGUACCCAAGGAAUAAGCCACGGCUAACUACGUGCCAGCAGCCGCGGUAAUACGUAGGUGGCAAGCGUUAUCCGGCUUUAUUGGGGGUAAAGGGCGUGUAGGCGGGAUUGCAAGUCAGAUGUGAAACCCACGUGCUCAACCUGUG
rnacentral:rRNA from 1 species